AGAGGGUCCUCGGUAGGGUGAACCUGCGGAGGGAUCAUUA
rnacentral:rRNA from 1 species